GACCCUGAUGAAUUGCCGUAGAUCUAAUACGUCACAGGUCAAAGUUGAAAUUAGCACAAAACAUUGGACCAGCAUGAAGAAGGAGCAAUGAAAAAGGGAGAGAGGCAGUGAGGGAGACCCUGAGAGAGAAACUGGACCUGGAGAAGAGACCUGUGCAGGUGGUGGAGUGUCUCUUGGAGGAUAGCGUAGUGGAGGACUUCCUGGUUGACUGUGAAAGCUUGAUCACUUCUGCCAAUUACAAAGACAGUUGAGGAGAGAUCUAUUGUGAAGCUGUGUGGCUAUCCUGUCUGUUCAAAUAAACUGGGCUAGGUCCCCACUCAACAGUUAAACAUUUCCACCAACACCAAUAAAGUCAAUGACAUUACAGAACGCAAGUCCUUCUGCAGUAAUUCUUCUACAAAGCCUCCAAGUCCUUUGAGCUGCAGAUAUCAAAGAGCCUUCAAUGGUUGAGGCAGCACGAGAGGCAAUUAUGUUCCGUUUCACUUUACAAUGAGUCAUGGUUAACCACAGAUAUAGCCGUGCACAGAUGUAAACUUAAUGAAUAAAGGAGAUUGCGGUAGCACUGGAGAGGAGGAUGUGAGGAACCUCUGUACUCUGUGGCGCCAGAGAACCCCAGACGAUCCUGCACAGCCGGUCACAGCGACACAGAACAGCACUUUGUUUCCAGCGUGGUCUCCCAGCAACAGGGACCCAGGGUGCGCUGGGGAAGUCUGCUCAAGCACACCAACUAAGGGGAGGGGAGGGAACGAGGAGAGGGAGAGAAGGUCGGGAGGGAAGGACACAAAGAUGCCAAAACAAACAAACAAGGCUGAAGACAAGAAGGAGGAGAAUACAGAAGAAUCACAGAAAGAACCAACAAAGACAAUCAAUGACAUAGAUGGACCCCAACAACACACAACAGAUACAAACCACCCCAGUGAGCAGCAGCCUUUCCUGGAAGAGAGAGGCUCACCAGAGGGCCGGUCUAUGGAGGAUGCCGCAGCACUACUGAGCCAAGUCACAAUGCAGGAUAGAGAUCCAGUCACGGUUACAUCUUCUGUACUAACAACCCUCAGCACAAUGCAGUGUACAGAAUCAAGAUCCAACCCCCAACCCUCAGUGGGACUCAACCCCAGCACAGCCUACCCAGCCGGGCCUCAGGAUCAGCCAGGUGGGCAUGAGCAGGAGGGGGGCCCAGGGGCUCCUCAAGGGCCACAAAACUACUCCAAAACCUGKCUCGGUCUGACUGAACUUUCUUGAAGGCCUAUGGAGGACCUUCGACGAAUGGUGGACUGAGGAGACUAUGAAGUUCCUAUAUGGCCCAGACCACUUUAAUAAAACAACAGUAGAAACGAAGAAGAAGGAGGAGGAAGAAGAAGAACUGGAUGAAGAUAACCUGGAGGAUGUUGUAGAAGGGGUUGGGGAUGGAGGGGACGGCGGGUCCCCAGGGGGUCCAUGGAGACCCUCUGCUCCAUCCCCAGACUACGACACAAUACGCAGGGAUACAGAGGAGCUGGGGCUGAGUGUAAGGGAGUUCUACAAAGGGGUCAGGGAAACGGGCCCUGAGACUCAGAGGUGAGUGGGGGAUAAAAGUGUGGUGUAGUAACCGUCAGUGUCCAGAUGGGGGCACUAUGUAUAAGCAUUGGAGAUGUUAAGCGUGAUGAUGACGAUGGUCUUGUUUUUGAGUUUGGCUUUUACCAUGAAGAUGUUUUUUUUAUGUCUCAUCUCACUUCUUUCCCUCACUCUUUGUCUCCUCUCCUUUCCCAUCUACGCUCUCUCUCUUGCUUUCACGCUCUUUCUCCUGCUUUCACACACUUUCUCUCACGCUCUCUCUCCACCCCCACCCCCCCCAUGCCCAGCACCUCAUACAGAAACACAUAACGGUUGAGAAGCUCACUAGAGGGUGUGUGUGUGUGUCUGUAUGAAAAUGCUGCUACGGUUUUCAAAGUUCAAAAAAAUGUUUUAUGCAAUGAAAAUGUGGUCACUGAUGUGCUGAUAGUUGACAACCAGCAAUAUUGCAGAAGCAUUGCCUGAGAAACAUCGUGGGCUCCCUGCGUCUCACCAUGACUGACAUCUCCAGUGACCUCAACAACCUGGUCAGGACCUUCAGGUUAUCAGAGGUGUCCCCGGUGUACAGGAGGCCCUGAAGAGCCCGACCUCAGUCAAAUACCUCUCUAUUCUGAUGCAGCAGCUGUCACUUCAGGACCUACAGAGCCUAGUCUAGCUACUCAAAACCAUCCAGUCUCCUCUACUAUAUACUACUUUCUUUACUGUUACAGCCAAAUCUUUACAUGUUUCCUAUCAGAACGGCAAGGGCUGGAGGUAUCGCUCUUCUGAUAGAUACAUCAUUGAUUGACUUUUAUUUGAAAUCAAUAUUGGAGAACCUUGCCUUGCCUUUUUUUGUAUUACUUUGGUUUGGUUGRUUUUUCAGUUUUAUUGAUACAACUAUUGAGAAUUAAGAGAAAUUACUUUUCAUCUUCUCUCAGGAUAUGGACAGUGCUUGUUGAGGCUUUAGUGCUCUGAAAUGAAGACUGAAAUUUCCAAGAAAAUUGUGCAGACAUACUGUAUCAUCGAAUAGGCUUGUUAUUACACAGGAAUUGUUGAACAGGUGCAUAGUUUACACACAUUCUGGCAGCUUCAUGGUGGAAAUGUAUAGUCUUAUUAUGCCUCUCCUAAUUUUCAAACAAACACUGAUAUACUGAAUCUGAUGAUACUGUAAAUGUCUAAAUCAAAUCUUCAAAGUUACAAGCCUCCAAUGUUUAAYCCCAUGCUUCUAUACAACCAAAUAAAUCACACUCAGGUUUUCCACUGUGUAUAAAAAUGUCAUGUGAUCGACUAUAUUGCCAUACUGGAAGAGAAUGGUGCAAUAAAUGUGUCGCUGUUUAUCCCAGCUUCCUUCACAGGAA